rnacentral:snRNA from 1 species
GGAUGUGAGGGCGAUCUGGCUGCGACAUCUGUCACCCCAUUGAUCGCCAGGGUUGAUUCGGCUGAUCUGGUUGGCUAGGCGGGUGUCCCCUUCCUCCCUCACCGCUCCAUGUGCGUCCCUCCCGAAGCUGCGCGCUCGGUCGAAGAGGACGACCUUCCCCGAUAGAGGAGGACAGUUCUUCGGUCAAGGGUAUACGAGUAGCUGCGCUCCCCUGCUAGAACCUCCAAACAAGCUCUCAAGGUCCAUUUGUAGGAGAACGUAGGGUAGUCAAGCUUCCAAGACUCCAGCAAUUAUA